GACAAGAACCAGAAAAAGGCUGGAGCACAAUCCACAAACUGUGGAAGGUGUGCACCGUCUGCAAAACAGUGAAGGAAACAACAGACGUAUGAACCAGAGCAAAGACUGAGCUCACCCACACUGAAGCAGGGACUGCUCAUUUAAUGUCAGCUCCAGCUGAAGGUCCAGGCUGGAAUGGAGUAGAAAGUGGAGUCCUGUUGAUGAAGGAACU